GCUCCAGUGGCGCAAUCGGUUAGCGCGCGGUACUUAUAUGACAGUAACUGAUGAGCAAUGCCGAGGUUGUGAGUUCAAGCCUCACCUGGAGCA
rfam:Xenopus tropicalis strain Nigerian Chr03_contig_3090, whole genome shotgun sequence.